UUAGUACUCCAUCCGUCCAACAAAGGAUGUCUCAGUUUGACUAAAUUUAAAUGCAUCUAUACACUAAGUUAUGUCUAGAUACAUCCAAAUUUUAACAAACUUGAGACAUCUUUUGUUGGACAGAGGGAGUAUAUA
rfam:Brachypodium distachyon strain Bd21 chromosome 2, whole genome shotgun sequence.